rnacentral:rRNA from 1 species
GACGAACGCUGGCGGCGUGCCUAAUACAUGCAAGUUGAGCGAUGAAGAUUGGUGCUUGCACCAAUUUGAAGAGCAGCGAACGGGUGAGUAACGCGUGGGGAAUCUGCCUUUGAGCGGGGGACAACAUUUGGAAACGAAUGCUAAUACCGCAUAACAACUUUAAACAUAAGUUUUAAGUUUGAAAGAUGCAAUUGCAUCACUCAAAGAUGAUCCCGCGUUGUAUUAGCUAGUUGGUGAGGUAAAGGCUCACCAAGGCGAUGAUACAUAGCCGACCUGAGAGGGUGAUCGGCCACAUUGGGACUGAGACACGGCCCAAACUCCUACGGGAGGCAGCAGGAGGGAAUCUUCGGCAAUGGACGAAAGUCUGACCGAGCAACGCCGCGUGAGUGAAGAAGGUUUUCGGAUCGUAAAACUCUGUUGGUAGAGAAGAACGUUGGUGAGAGUGGAAAGCUCAUCAAGUGACGGUAACUACCCAGAAAGGGACGGCUAACUACGUG